rnacentral:rRNA from 1 species
CAGUAGCCGCGGUAAUACGUAGGUGGCAAGCGUUGUCCGGAAUUAUUGGGCGUAAAGGGCUCGCAGGCGGUUUCUUAAGUCUGAUGUGAAAGCCCCCGGCUCAACCGGGGAGGGUCAUUGGAAACUGGGAAACUUGAGCGCAGAAGAGGAGAGUGGAAUUCCACGUGUAGCGGUGAAAUGCGUAGAGAUGUAGAGGAACACCAGUGGCGAAGGCGACUCUCUGGUCUGUAACUGACGCUGAGGAGCGAAAGCGUGGGGAGCGAACAGGAUUAGAUACCCGAGUAGUCCCUGUCUCUUAUAC